rnacentral:rRNA from 1 species
CCAGGCGGCCAAAGCGGGAUGGUACACCUGUUCCCAUUUCGAACACAGAAGUUAAACGUCCCAACGGUCUGGGUGGUACUGCCUUCGGGCGGGAAGCCCAGAUAGCUGCCGUUU